GACGAACGCUGGCGGCGUGCUUAACACAUGCAAGUCGAACGGAAAGGCCUCUUUCGGGGGGUACUCGAGUGGCGAACGGGUGAGUAACACGUGAGUAACCUGCCCUUGACUUUGGGAUAACUUCAGGAAACUAGGGCUAAUACCGGAUAGGAGCUCCUGCUGCAUGGUGGGGGUUGGAAAGUUUCGGCGGUUGGGGAUGGACUCGCGGCUUAUCAGCUUGUUGGUGGGGUAGUGGCUUACCAAGGCUUUGACGGGUAGCCGGCCUGAGAGGGUGACCGGCCACAUUGGGACUGAGAUACGGCCCAGACUCCUACGGGAGGCAGCAGUGGGGAAUAUUGCACAAUGGGUGGAAGCCUGAUGCAGCAACGCCGUGUGCGGGAUGACGGCCUUCGGGUUGUAAACCGCUUUCGCUCAUGACGAAGCUUUGUGUGACGGUAGUGGGUAAAGAAGCACCGGCUAACUACGUG
rnacentral:rRNA from 1 species